GCCCCGCAGCUCCGCCCCCGGCCCGGCCAGGCCCGGCCCCGGGCCCGCUCGUCCGCUGCCCCGCAUGGAGCUGUCAGCCAUCGGCGAGCAGGUGUUCGCUGUGGAGAGCAUCCGGAAGAAGCGCGUGCGGAAGGGUAAAGUCGAAUAUCUGGUGAAGUGGAAAGGAUGGCCCCCAAAGUACAGCACGUGGGAGCCGGAAGAGCACAUCCUGGACCCCCGCCUCGUCAUGGCCUAUGAGGAGAAGGAGGAGAGAGACCGAGCGUCGGGGUAUAGGAAGAGAGGCCCGAAACCCAAGCGGCUUCUGCUGCAGCGGCUGUACAGCAUGGACCUGCGGAGCUCCCACAAGGCCAAGGGCAAGGAGAAGCUCUGCUUCUCCCUGACGCGCCCACUCGGCAGCGGGAGCCCCGAGGGGGUGGUCAAGGCGGGGACACCUGAGCUGGUGGACAAGGGCCCCUUGGUGCCCACCCUGCCCUUCCCGCUCCGCAAGCCGCGCAAGGCCCACAAGUACCUGCGGCUCUCACGCAAGAAGUUCCCGCCCCGCGGGCCCAACCUGGAGAGUCUCAGCCAUCGACGGGAGCUCUUCCUGCAGGAGUCACCGGCCCCAGACGUCUUGCAGGCGGCCAGCGAGUGGGAGCCCACCGAGCAGCCCCCGGAAGAGGAGGCAGAGACAGACCUGGCCGAAGGGCCCCCUCCCUGGACACCUGCGCUCCCCCCAAGUGAGGUGACCGUGACCGACAUCACCGCCAACUCCGUCACCGUCACCUUCCGAGAGGCCCAGGCGGCCGAGGGCUUCUUCCGAGACCGCAGCGGGAAGUUCUGAAUCACCGUUUUUUACUCUUCUUAAACUGCUUUCUUUUGGGGUUGGGGUGGGGACUUCCAGAGUUGGGGAGGGGUUAGGGGUGGGGUAAUUAUUUUAUUUUAUUUAAAAAAAAACCUGAGCAGAAGAAGGGGGGAAGACCCUCCCACCCUUCCCCUUCCUCUGCAAGGGACUUUUACAGAGAGGCCUCGGGCAGGGGCUGGCAGGCCGGGCAUUGCUCUGGGAGUUGGGGCAUCUCCCCAGGGCAGGACAGGGACAAGGCCGCCUGCCUGGGACAUCUCUGUCCUCAUUCUCUAGAGAUGCAGUAGCUGGCUCUGGGAGUGACAGGAGCGUCGGGAGGCCCAGGCCUGCUCCCCUGAGCAGCCCGCUUCAGCCACCUGGCUGGUUUCACCUUCCCAUUUUUUUGAUCGGGUCUUUGUUUGGAACUUUCCACUCCAGCUUUGUGGUGGGCCGUGGAGGCUGUCUGUGACCAGCAUGACUGGGUCAGCAAGCAGAGGCAGGAGGAAGGGUUUGAGAUUGCUGGGGCAUGUCCCCUCCCCUUCAGAGAGGUGUCUGCCCUUCCCAGGGAGGAGGCUGCCAGCUGAGACCCUUCUGCUGAGAGCUCCACCCUCCCCCAUCACCUGGCCUGUGCAGAAACACGUGGCGCCCAGCCCCGCAGGGGCAAUGUGGGCACAGGCGCACGCUGCAGGACGACCACGUGAAGACACGGGGAGGAGGUGGCCAUUCACAGACAGAGGAUAGAGGCCCGGAACAGAGCCUGCCUUCACGCUGUGGCGAGGAACCAGCCUGCGACACCCUCAUCCCGUCUGCCAGCCUCAACAGCCGCGAGAGAACAAACUUGUGUCUAAGCCCCGGAGUGCGGUCCUUUGUUACGGCAGCCCUGGUGGGUUACAACGAGGACGCGGACGGUGUCCCCGAGAGGAGGCUGGGACUCGGUGCAGGGCUUACCUGGAGGCCUGGAGGCCCGGAGCUGCGUUACCAUCCCAGCCCUCCGGCCGGGCGCUGACUUCCCGCACUGCUGAGGAGCUCGCCCUGGCAAGAGAAGAGCCCACCGGGCAGGGGAGCGGCUGAGCCGCGGCUGCAAUCGGAGAGGAGGCGGAGAGGCCAGGGGGUGUGUCAGUGGGAGAGCUGAGACGCUCCAGCCUGAGAAUCAGGAAGGAUGGAUUCAAUAGUGAGCCAGAGUAGCUGUUUAGAGAAGAUGAAGAGGAGUGUUAUGGAAAGCUCGGCACUUGUCUUCGAGGCAGCAGAAGACAAGAACAAAUGAACAAGAACAAGAACGACAACAAGGACAAAUAAGGUCUCCCUCUGUCACCCAGGCUGGAGUGCACUGGAAUAAUCAGAACUCACCAUAGCCUGAAACUCCUAGGUUCGAGCGAUCCUGCUGCCUCAGCCUCCACAGGAGAAUAGCAAGGACUACAGGUGAUUUAGUUUACUGUGGAAAACACCAAGGCCAACUGGAAGCAAGUGCUGAAUAUGCAAAGGCCAAACAAACACACGCACUGAUAAAGGAAGCCCACCCCUACCAGGAAUACAAUAGCCUUCUCCAAAGAGGGGAACCAUCCUUCCCUCAUCCAACCUCAUGCCCAACCUCCCAGCUGCUGCAACAGGAGGAAAACAGCCCCCUCCAACAGGGGAGCUCCCAAACAGGAGGGGAAAGACCCCUCCAGUCCCGGCCCAAAUAGAACAGAACACAGGACAAGUUUGGGAAAUCUGUCCAAGGAACACUCAGGAGCGGGAAGGGGCAGCCAGCGUGGGAACCUCAUGCCACAGUCCUGGGGGCUUGAGAUUCUCCCCGAGGGGAAUCAGCUUUGGACUCAGCCUCUGACACCGUGGGGAGGUCAAAAUGAAGACACAGAGAGGAAUCUCUGCAUUUAAUGUUUAUUUGGGAAGAGAAGAAUGACAAUUGAGGGGGUACACCCGGGAAAAGACAAGGUUGGGCAUUCUAUAAAAAGGGGAAGUGUUAGGUCUUGCUCUUGGCGAAGGUUCGCUGGCACUAGUCAGGGUGCGAGGAGCUGGCGAGGGCCGCUGCUGAGCACGGUGGUGGCCCAGUGAGUCCCAGGGCGGCAGCUGUUCCUCUCGGAAGCUGGAGAGAAACUGGCUUCAGGGUCCAACAAGCAGCUUCAGCAGUCAGGCCUGCAGUCACAUUUCUGGAGCAAAGUUCUGUACCCAGGGCUUCUUCCUGCUGGCUUCUCCACUGUUGCAGUUGGGUAUGACAAGGAUGACCCAAUUCUCAGGAUCAACUUGUACAAAGGAUGUUUCUCAGAGCUUGUGAGUUUCACCCUGAUGUGCACUCCCACCCAUUUACGUGCAGUUAAUGACCAGCUCGGUGAGUGUGGCCUGUUGGAAGGAGCCAGGUCAGGGGCUCCCGGGCUGGGGGGAAGGGAGAUGGGUCCAGAGGCAGAAACAGCCAGUGACAGGAGGGCCCAGGAGAGCAGGGAGGAAGCCUUGGGGUGGGGGCAGCACUGGGGGCAGCCAGAGUGCUGCAGUGUGUCUGGGCAGGGGCCAAGGGAAGGCCAAAGGGGAAGCGCAGGGGCCAGGGAGACAGGGGAUUUGGCUCCAGGAAGCCUCUCACCUGAGGAUCUCCUGCAGCUGGGUGUCCAGUAAUUGAUGAUUUUCAUUCAAUCCGUCCCAAGGCUGGAAUGGCUUUCCCUGGUGGUGCACAAAGUUUUCCCAGCAGUGUUGAAAUUCUGAGGUAGAGAGGGAGAAAGCAGUCAGGGCCCGGCAGGCCUCUCUUCCCUGCCCCUUGAGACAGUCCCCUCCCAGGGCCAGGUCCCCUGGGUGCCAGUGGGGGUCUGGCUGGCUCAGGCCUGAAUAGGCUCCCCUAGAACCCUGACCUUCUGCUGGCGUCCAGACCCGUGAGUUCCCCACAGUGUUGUUCCUGCAGCUGCAACCCUGACCCCACUUCUCACCUGGAAGAGACAUGAUGUGUAGCUGGGCCCCUUUCUGAUGCAUCCUUCGAAGGCCCUGCUGGAUUUCUGGCUCAUGGUGGUAGUAGAGGCGGGCAGCAAAUAUGGUCAGGCUCAUGUUCCUCUGUGUGGCCAGAAAGUCAGCCACGAGUUCUGCACAGUUGGCACAGGGACUCCAGGAUGCGUACCAGGUAACCUGGUAGUCCUGGUCAGAGGACAGCAUGCCAUGGAACCAAGACAGGAAGCAGUUCUCUGCAUGGCAAGGAGUUUUGGAAUCACCCUGGGAGAGGAGGAGGAGAGAAGGGGGUGCUGUGGGUAGAGGGGCAGGCAAUGCAGGGGAGGGACAGUGGCAGCAGGGCCCUGGCCAGGAGCCCCAGGACAUUUGGUUCCUGGAGCUUCCUCCUCCAUCCCUCCCCCUCUUGUCUGUCACACUCGAGUCUUCCCUGGCCCCACUCCUGGCUCCUGCACUGGCUCCAGCAGCCUGUCCAGGCGUCUGUCUAGCAGCCACCCUGAGCCCCUGCCUGGCCCUCUGGGCUGGGGCUUGUUCCUGCCUGCUGUCUGCUGGGGACGGCUGCGGGGCUGGACCCACCCCUGGGGGCCAUGGCCCACUUGACGUGAGGCGUGGGCACCAGUGAGAUACACGGGAGGAGGGGGCGCCAACUGUCUCAUGAGGAGCCCGUAGGAACCGCAGGUUGAAACAGUGUCAGAGACGUCGCACUAGGCAAGAUAUUGCGGCUACGUUCCCGGUUUCUACCGCCUUCUCAGUAUGGGGACUAGACAAAUGUAACUGCAUUUCUGUCCCUGGGUGCCCACGGGAUGACACUGCUGUAGGGCCGGCCUGCCCCCCACAGCCACCACCACACCCCUGGGGGUCUCCUGCCUGGGUGAGGAGGGCAGGGGUGGCUGGGACAUUGCAGGGUGAGACGUGUGGGGUCACCAUGGUGCGAUGACACGAUCAGGGCACUGGGGGGGGCCCAGCCAGCCCAGCAGUGACCAGGCCAAACCCAACUCUCCACAGCGCCCUGUCCCUGCAGCCUGCUGGACGCAAAGCCCAGUCACACGACUUCGGGAAACACGCGCUGGUAGAGUCUGGGUGGCCCUACGCAGGCCGUAGUGGGCAGUCACAGCCCAGGACCACCAGUCCAGGGCAGUCCAGCAGGCACGUCCUGCCCAAGGACUUAAAUGUGGGAAGAAAACAUACAAUUGAGAGCAGCUGUGUGGCAUUUUCCUUGUUACUGGGUGUUGUGCAUUCUCAACUGGCUUAGCUCCUGCCCGGGGUGUGGUUGGGGUGUGGACGAUACCUGGUUUCGGAAGACCCCGCAGAGGAAGGAAGCAGGUGAAUUGCUGUCCUUGUUUGUUUUCACCGUGAAGCACAGCCAGCAGCUGGUCCUGUCUCGGAGGCUGGUUGUGUUGUUGAACUGGUAGUAAAAUAUUUUUGGAGAUAUUCUCUCUAUGGGGUCUCUGAAGGCAUGGGAGAGAAACAUAAAACCCAGAUAGUGUCCCUGGAGUCUGUACAGUCUCAGGGCCAUUGAACUGAGCCCCCUGCACCACCUGGGCACCGGGCCUGCCUGGCCCUGUGUAGCCCUGACACUCUGCAGCCUUCUGAGGCAGGAAGACUGGGGGAGAGGAAGAGACGCCCCGGCCUGAGAAGCAGGAAGGAUGCAGAGGAAGGAGGAGCCUUUGGUGGCCUGUCCCACGUGGAGCAUUCCAGCUGCUCCGGACCAGGGAGUUCCUGGGAGCAGAGACCCCACUGGACUGUAAGGCGGGCCUCUGCCCCAUUCUUUUCUGCAGGACGAGGACACAGUCUGGCCUGGCCACUUAGGCCCAGACAGCCAAGGAGUGUGUACACAGAUCUGGGCCUCUCUGGGCCUGCCCCUCGGAGGACAGCGGAACAGAGAGAGCAUCGCCCUGGACAGGCUGAGGCAGCCAGGGGAGCCCCUGGAUCCGGCCCUAGGAACUGUGCCCAGGGACACCAGCCACUCAGCAGCCCUGGGGACAGAGGGAGAGUGAGGGGCCAGGUGUGUGCCGCCUCUCAGGUCUUCACACUCAGAGGGCCAAGAAGAGAGGCAGGAGGAGCAGGGGGUGUUGGCCUGCGUCCCACCCUCGACUCCAAUGGCGUUUCUGUCUUCUGCAUCUGCCUGCCUGGAGCUGCACCUGUCGGGCUGAGCCCCUGCUUCCUCUUGUCCCCAUGCCACAGAACAGGAGCGGUGGGUGUCCCAGGCCACCGUGUUGGGACCAUGCCCACAGCCGCUCACAGCUCCCUCAGCUGGGGUUUGCUCCCGUGGUCCUCGACCCAGGUGCUCACUCCCAGACUCCCCUUGAGGGCCUGAGCUGCCCUUCCCUGGCCUCUCUGAUCCCAGGCCGCCCUCCUCCUUUCUCUGCUUUCUGGAAAGGCUCUGAGGCUCUCCAGGCCCCCGUGUCCCCCAAAGCUACAUUUACCCCAAGUCUUAUUGAAAUGUGAACCGAC